CUAAGGGAGAACUAUGGCUGUGAAGUUGUCUGUUUCACUGCAGAUGUUGGUCAAGGGAUUAAGGAAUUGGAAGGCUUGGAAGCAAAGGCCAAGGCUAGUGGGGCUUGUCAAUUAGUGGUGAAGGAUUUGCAAGAAGAAUUUGUGAAAGAUUACAUAUUUCCUUGUCUGCGAGCUGGUGCUAUCUAUGAAAGGAAAUACUUGCUUGGGACAUCAAUGGCCCGCCCGGUUAUUGCUAAGGCAAUGGUUGAUGUUGCCAGAGAGGUUGGAGCUGAUGCUGUUUCUCAUGGAUGCACAGGGAAGGGAAAUGAUCAGGUCCGUUUUGAGCUGACAUUCUUUGCUCUGAAUCCUGAACUCAGUGUUGUUGCCCCUUGGAGGGAAUGGGAAAUUACAGGAAGAGAGGAUGCUAUUGAAUAUGCUAAGAAGCACAAUGUACCAGUUCCGGUGACAAAGAAAUCUAUCUAUAGCAGAGACAGAAACUUGUGGCAUCUUAGUCACGAGGGAGAUAUUCUUGAGGACCCUGCAAAUGAGCCAAUGAAGGAUAUGUAUAUGAUGUCAGUUGAUCCCCAAGAUGCACCUGAUCAACCUGAGUAUGUGAACAUUGGGAUAGUUGCUGGUAUUCCUGUUUCAGUAAAUGGAAAGGAGCUCUCUCCUGCAACUCUUCUUUCUGAGCUAAAUGAAAUUGGCGGAAGACAUGGAAUUGGACGAAUAGACAUGGUUGAAAAUAGGCUUGUUGGAAUGAAGAGCCGUGGAGUAUAUGAAACCCCUGGGGGAACUAUCCUUUUCUCAGCUGUGCAAGAACUUGAGUCUCUUACACUUGAUCGUGAAACAAUCCAAGUCAAGGAUUCUCUCGCCCUCAAAUAUGCAGAAUUAGUUUAUGCUGGCAGGUGGUUUGAUCCACUUCGCGAGUCAAUGGAUGCUUUCAUGGAGAAUAUUACCAAAACUACAACAGGUUCAGUUACUCUCAAACUAUACAAAGGAUCAGUUUCAGUGACAGGUCGUCAAAGUCCUCACAGUUUGUACAGACAAGAUAUCUCAUCAUUCGAGAGUGGGGAUAUCUACAAUCAAGCCGAUGCUGCAGGAUUCAUUCGUCUGUAUGGGCUUCCAAUGAGGGUUAGGGCAAUGCUUGAGAAGGGUCUUUAAAUUUGUUUUCGCGUCGUGAAUUGAUGGUUUAGUGUUGACAGUUCCAUCAAAGGGUCAAGUAGAAUCUUGUUUUUUUCCAUUUCAUAGCACUGUAGUUUUUUUGUACGGCUUUGG
rnacentral:misc_RNA from 1 species